UUUAUGGAGAGUUUGAUCCUGGCUCAGAGUGAACGCUGGCGGCGUGCCUAAUACAUGCAAGUCGAACGAUGAAGCUUCUAGCUUGCUAGAGUGCUGAUUAGUGGCGCACGGGUGAGUAACGCAUAGGUCAUGUGCCUCUUAGUUUGGGAUAGCCAUUGGAAACGAUGAUUAAUACCAGAUACUCCCUACGGGGGAAAGAUUUAUCGCUAAGAGAUCAGCCUAUGUCCUAUCAGCUUGUUGGUAAGGUAAUGGCUUACCAAGGCUAUGACGGGUAUCCGGCCUGAGAGGGUGAACGGACACACUGGAACUGAGACACGGUCCAGACUCCUACGGGAGGCAGCAGUAGGGAAUAUUGCUCAAUGGGGGAAACCCUGAAGCAGCAACGCCGCGUGGAGGAUGAAGGUUUUAGGAUUGUAAACUCCUUUUGUUAGAGAAGAUAAUGACGGUAUCUAACGAAUAAGCACCGGCUAACUCCGUGCCAGCAGCCGCGGUAAUACGGAGGGUGCAAGCGUUACUCGGAAUCACUGGGCGUAAAGAGCGCGUAGGCGGGAUAGUCAGUCAGGUGUGAAAUCCUAUGGCUUAACCAUAGAACUGCAUUUGAAACUACUAUUCUAGAGUGUGGGAGAGGUAGGUGGAAUUCUUGGUGUAGGGGUAAAAUCCGUAGAGAUCAAGAGGAAUACUCAUUGCGAAGGCGACCUGCUGGAACAUUACUGACGCUGAUUGCACGAAAGCGUGGGGAGCAAACAGGAUUAGAUACCCUGGUAGUCCACGCCCUAAACGAUGGAUGCUAGUUGUUGGAGGGCUUAGUCUCUCCAGUAAUGCAGCUAACGCAUUAAGCAUCCCGCCUGGGGAGUACGGUCGCAAGAUUAAAACUCAAAGGAAUAGACGGGGACCCGCACAAGCGGUGGAGCAUGUGGUUUAAUUCGAAGAUACACGAAGAACCUUACCUAGGCUUGACAUUGAGAGAAUCCGCUAGAAAUAGUGGAGUGUCUAGCUUGCUAGACCUUGAAAACAGGUGCUGCACGGCUGUCGUCAGCUCGUGUCGUGAGAUGUUGGGUUAAGUCCCGCAACGAGCGCAACCCCCUUUCUUAGUUGCUAACAGGUUAUGCUGAGAACUCUAAGGAUACUGCCUCCGUAAGGAGGAGGAAGGUGGGGACGACGUCAAGUCAUCAUGGCCCUUACGCCUAGGGCUACACACGUGCUACAAUGGGGUGCACAAAGAGAAGCAAUACUGCGAAGUGGAGCCAAUCUUCAAAACACCUCUCAGUUCGGAUUGUAGGCUGCAACUCGCCUGCAUGAAGCUGGAAUCGCUAGUAAUCGCAAAUCAGCCAUGUUGCGGUGAAUACGUUCCCGGGUCUUGUACUCACCGCCCGUCACACCAUGGGAGUUGUGUUUGCCUUAAGUCAGGAUGCUAAAUUGGCUACUGCCCACGGCACACACAGCGACUGGGGUGAAGUCGUAACAAGGUAACCGUAGGUGAACCUGCGGUUGGAUCACCUCCUUUCUAGA
rnacentral:rRNA from 1 species